GAUCAUGGCUCAGGAUGAACGCUAGCUACAGGCUUAACACAUGCAAGUCGAGGGGCAGCGAGAGGAAAGCUUGCUUCCUGUCGGCGACCGGCGCACGGGUGAGUAACGCGUAUCCAACCUUCCCCAUAGUAGAGGAUAGCCCGGCGAAAGUCGGAUUAAUACUCUAUGUUGUGUCAUGAGGACAUCUGAAUAACACUAAAGAUUUAUCGCUAUGGGAUGGGGAUGCGUCUGAUUAGGUAGUCGGCGGGGUAACGGCCCACCGAGCCGACGAUCAGUAGGGGUUCUGAGAGGAAGGUCCCCCACAUUGGUACUGAGACACGGACCAAACUCCUACGGGAGGCAGCAGUGAGGAAUAUUGGUCAAUGGACGAGAGUCUGAACCAGCCAAGUAGCGUGCCAGGAUGACUGCCCUAUGGGUUGUAAACUGCUUUUAUGCGGGAAUAAAGUCAGGUACGUGUACCUGUUUGUAUGUACCGCAUGAAUAAGGACCGGCUAAUUCCGUGCCAGCCGCCGC
rnacentral:rRNA from 1 species